AUUGAACGCUGGCGGCAGGCCUAACACAUGCAAGUCGAGCGGAUGAAGGGAGCUUGCUCCUGGAUUCAGCGGCGGACGGGUGAGUAAUGCCUAGGAAUCUGCCUGGUAGUGGGGGAUAACGUCCGGAAACGGGCGCUAAUACCGCAUACGUCCUGGGGGAGAACGUGGGGGAUCUUCGGACCUCACGCUAUCAGAUGAGCCUAGGUCGGAUUAGCUAGUUGGUGGGGUAAAGGCCUACCAAGGCGACGAUCCGUAACUGGUCUGAGAGGAUGAUCAGUCACACUGGAACUGAGACACGGUCCAGACUCCUACGGGAGGCAGCAGUGGGGAAUAUUGGACAAUGGGCGAAAGCCUGAUCCAGCCAUGCCGCGUGUGUGAAGAAGGUCUUCGGAUUGUAAAGCACUUUAAGUUGGGAGGAAGGGCGGUAAGUUAAUACCUUGCUGUUUUGACGUUACCAACAGAAUAAGCACCGGCUAACUUCGUG
rnacentral:rRNA from 1 species